GGACCAAUGCCACGUCGAUGGUAGCUCUUGAAGACUUUUGACCGGCGAGUUACGAUUGGUCUGAGAAAAACUAUUUUAGUUUAGUUGAGACUGAUAUUCUACAAUGCUUAUUUCACUCAUGCAUGUUGUAGUUUCAUUACUGAUCAUAUUA